rnacentral:misc_RNA from 1 species
UGGUUCUGGCAUCGAUGAAGAACGCAGCGAAAUGCGAUAAGUAAUGUGAAUUGCAGAAUUCAGUGAAUCAUCGAAUCUUUGAACGCACAUUGCGCCCUUUGGUAUUCCGAGGGGCAUGCCUGUUCGAGCGUCAUUUAAAACCAUCAAGCACCGCUUGGUCUUGGGUGGGGUCUCUGGACCCGCCCGUAGCUCGUUGGCGGAACCGUCCGGCUUUAGGCGUAGCAAGUUAAACCCUCGCUUUGGAGCCGCGCGGGACCGGCCGUCCUUUAAACCUAGAGUUUGACCUAGGAUCAGGCAGGGAUACCCGCUGA